CAGACACCUGGCUUACCCAACAGGAGCAGCCUCCAGUGCUGUCCGCUGAUGGAGAGACUCUGUUCCUGAUCACUCCCACUAAACAGGGCAACCAGCGAGACUUCCAGCAUGUGGUCAUGUUUGUACCUCAGUUAUUUCCAGAGCACAGAAGCCUCCGCCAGAUCAACACACCUGUACAG